rfam:Cavia porcellus supercont2_3 genomic scaffold, whole genome shotgun sequence.
GGGGAUUUAGCUCAGCGGCAUAAGCGCCUGCCUUGCAAGCAGGCAGUCCUGAGUUCAAUCCCCA